CGCGUAGGCGGCCGUUUAAGUCAGAUGUGAAAGCCCGGGGCUCAACCCCGGAAGUGCAUUUGAUACUAUUCGGCUUGAGUAUGGGAGAGGGAAGUGGAAUUCCUGGUGUAGAGGUGAAAUUCGUAGAUAUCAGGAGGAACACCGGUGGCGAAGGCGACUUCCUGGACCAAUACUGACGCUGAGGCGCGAAGGCGUGGGGAGCAAACAGGAUUAGAUACCCUGGUAGUCC
rnacentral:rRNA from 1 species